rnacentral:rRNA from 1 species
AUGGGGGGACGGAUCGCGGAAGGUUGUCCAACUGUUGGAAUAGUUGGUUUUUGGCUCAUAGAAGGCACUUAGGCAAAUCCGGGUGCGCAAUUCAAGGGGUUGAGACGAGUGAACUUGUUCACGAAGCAAUCGGAAGUGGUUCCAAGAAAAGCCUCUAAGCUUCAGUCAUACGAGACCGUACCGCAAACCGACACAGGUGGGCGAGAUGAGUAUU